GACGAACGCUGGCGGCGUGCUUAACACAUGCAAGUCGAACGGAAAGGCCCUGCUUUUGUGGGGUGCUCGAGUGGCGAACGGGUGAGUAACACGUGAGUAACCUGCCCUUGACUUUGGGAUAACUUCAGGAAACUGGGGCUAAUACCGGAUAGGAGCUCCUGCUGCAUGGUGGGGGUUGGAUAGUUUCGGCGGUUGGGGAUGGACUCGCGGCUUAUCAGCUUGUUGGUGGGGUAGUGGCUUACCAAGGCUUUGACGGGUAGCCGGCCUGAGAGGGUGACCGGCCACAUUGGAAUUGGGAUACGGCCCAGACUCCUACGGGAGGCAGCAGUGGGGAAUAGUGCACUAUGGGCUGAAGCCUGAUGCAGCAACGCCGCGUGCGGGAUGACGGCCUUCGGGUUGUAAACCGCUUUCGCCUGUGACGAAGCGUGAGUGACGGUAAUGGGUAAAGAAGCACCGGCUAACUACGUG
rnacentral:rRNA from 1 species